UCCAAUUAAUACUCAGAUUAAUCAACUAAUGUAGAUUCAUGAAUCAAUUAACAACAUAAUAUUCUCAAUUAGCAUUAAAAAGAAAAUAGGAAAGGAUUAGGGUUAUCACAUGGCAACGUUCCAGACUGCUCUCCUUCCUCACGCCAAACGCGACGGCGCCGCAAGAUCUCUCCGGCGAGACUCAGCGGAGCAUAUCUCUUCCCAUCGCUAUCGUAGACCACUCUCAACCUGUUAUCUUUGUUCAUCUCCGAUUCAACUCAGUUCCAUCUUAAACCAAUCAACCAGAGAUAAGCUACAAAUAUGAAGACGAGAAAUCCAGUUUCAACUUGUUUUAUGCGUCUUGAUGAUGCGAUGUUGUCGUUGUUGCAGAUGCCUAUUUGGAUGAUGCUUCGGAGAUUGUUGUUGUUUGCGAAGGUGAUGAUGAUUGAUGUGUUGUUGAACGAUGAUGAAGAAGAUCGAUGGAGUUACGAUGAAGAUUUUCUGAGUUUGUGAUUGAUAAUGAUUGAAGGUGAUGAAGAACAUGUAAUGGAGAUUGCAGAGAGAAUAUGCAGAGAAAUGAAGAUUCAAUGUUGACGAUUCCAGAUCGAAGAAAACAGUUAUCCUGAAGAGAAAUCGAAGAUGGCGUAAGGAAAUAUGCAGUGCGGUUCCCAGAGAGAACAAAGAGGAUUCUUGAGAUUGAAGGUUGAAGGAUCUUGCGAUGAUUGGAGAAGAUUGAAGAUUGGAAAAGUUUAUUACAAUUCGGUUAGAGGUUCCGUUUUUUUGUUAAGCCUUUUUGUUUCGGUUCGGUUUUUAUGCAGGGCUAUUUAGUGAACCGCAUAUCGAAUUGCAGAUGGCUUGAAUUGAAUACUUUUAGUGGACCUGAUUGAUAACUGUGGUAUGAAGAAGAAAAUAGCCAUGGCAAUUUGAACUUUGGAUAUUUAUAAUGAAUUUUGUGAUGUAGAUUGAACCUUUUGUAAUUGAACUUCGAAUUGUGAACCUUGAAUUGUGAUGUAAUAAUAGAGUUUUGAAUGACAUACUUGCACAUGUAGAAAUUGGACUUUUGUAAUGAAUUCUUGUAAAGAAAUCAUGAGUGAAGUUUGGUAUUGAAUUUUGAAUACAACCUAUGGAUAAGACUUUGAGUGAA